rnacentral:miRNA from 1 species
UAAAUGACUUGGAUGAAA